GGCGACAUGGCCGAGUGGUAAGGUAGAGGACUACAAAUCCUUUUUUCUCUAGUUCAAAUCUUGGUGUCGCCU